AACGCACAUUGCGCCCUUUGGUAUUCCGAGGGGCAUGCCUGUUCGAGCGUCAUUUCAAACCCUCAAGCUUCGGCUUGGUAUUGGAUCUUCGUCCGUCACUGGACGUGUCCGAAACUCGUAGGCGGUGGUAUCCAACUCCCAAGCGUAGUCAAUUCUCUCGCUUCCGGAAGAAGACGUCACCCGCCUGACAACCACACCUUUUUUACUCAUGGUUUGACCUCGGAUCAGGUAGGGAUACCCGCUGAACUUAA
rnacentral:misc_RNA from 1 species